UACGAAGGGGGCUAGCGUUGCUCGGAAUCACUGGGCGUAAAGGGUGCGUAGGCGGGUCUUUAAGUCAGGUGUGAAAUCCCCGGGCUUAACCUGGGAAUUGCGCUUGAAACUAGCGGGCUUGAGUGUGGCAGAGGGGGGUGGAAUUCCACGUGUAGCAGUGAAAUGCGUAGAUAUGUGGCGGAACACCGAUGGCGAAGGCAGCCCCCUGGGCUGAGAUUGACGCUCAGGCACGAAAGCGUGGGGAGCAAACAGG
rnacentral:rRNA from 1 species